rnacentral:piRNA from 1 species
UCAAAAGAUCAAGUAGUAAAA